GUGUGUUGGAGCAGGGAAACAUCCAAAACAUGCAGGACAGUGGGCCUCCAGAACUGGACUUGAGAACCACUGAUGUAGACGACUAGGUCUUCGUGGUUCUCUUUGUGUUAACACAGGUAACAAACACCUUGUACAAAAUGCAUACCACUCCUGUUUGGGCUUCUUUCAUUGGCUCCAGAUAGCCAAAGCUCUGGACUUAAACUCGAAUCUAUGUUUCUGAUCCCCUAACUUCAGACAUGUCCGGUCACGAACUGGAGCCCUCUGACAUAAAAGAUCUGCUGACUUUUGGACUUUUGGUGGGCAAAAUUAUGUCCGAGUCUUGAUUUUCUGGAACAACUGACACCAAGGAGAUCGGGUCAGUCACGUUUUCAUUUUUCCUUUCUUAAAAAUGUCUUUUCCUAAACAUAUUUGUAUAGAUUUGCUUUUGAGGAGACUUUCUCUGAGGAUGUGUUUUAAUCCUCUUAUUCCAGGUUAAGUCUUGAUCACAUUUAGGAUCUUCCUGAUUGUUAAAAGUUUUUACAUUUUUGUUUAUUUUAUUCUUUCAGUGUUACUUUACUUUCUCUAAUCUAAUUGUGUGUUUUUUUUCCUCUGGUGAAAUAAAUAUUUUAAUUUAUCUUUUAUCUACUGCUUAUAUCUUUCAUUUAUUUCUUUAUUGCUAUCUUUUAUCUGUCUCUUAUAUCUUUUUAUCUUUUAUCCAACAUUGUUAUUUUGUUUUAACUUUUAAAUCUUUGUCAUUGUUUGUCUGUCUGAUCCUCUUUUAUGAGCUCUUUUAAGCCCUGUUUAAAAAGUGCAUCAUAAAUUGACUUGGUUUUUGUCUAUUCUUGCACCCCUUGUUUCCCUAUUUAUCGGAGACUGUUUUCUGUUUUUAUCAGGAAUUUUAACUAGACAUUUUGCAGAUAUGCAUCCUAAUCUCUGAUGUAUUUAAAUGUUUCUAAUUAGAGAAAAUAGUGAAAAGAGACAGUCCUUUGUACCAUUCUGAUCUUGUUUGAAGAAGAUUAUUUAUGCUUGUGGUCUUCAUGGAGAACAGUUUACUCAUACCUCUGUAUUCACAUGCGUGAUUCUGUGUCUGAACUCUGCAGCUGAGGUUGAACUUUGUCACUUUUUUUGUCACUGCAGGCGCUCGGAGUGUUUGCAUGAACAGCAGCAGAUCCUGGAGCUCUGCUGCAGAUUUGGGUUCACUGUCCCACUGGGAAAUAAAUAAACUUCUGCUUCAUUUAAAGUCAGAAAAAGGAAAAAAAAAAAAAAAAACCUCUCCAAAAUAAAGAGCCUCUUCAGUCCUAUGAAUGUGAAUGCUGUGAAAGUCACACGCCUGAGAUUUGCUCCCUGUGUGUCACCUCAGAAGAUGAUUGAUUGAUAGAUUUUCCAUCAAAAGGCAGUAAAACAUCCGUCCAAUUCAGGCUGCAGUUUGCCAAUCAUCCUGGCUUUGUAUCUCACACUCAACCUGGACGACAAUAACCUGUUUGUGAGCAUCUACCACUGUUUGUUGUCCUGCCACAUCGGACAUUUUCAAUUUUCCUGCAAUUUGUUGCUGCGAGAGUUUCUCUGCAAUCAUAGAAACAAUUUGAGCCCAAAGUGUUUUUUUCUGAGUUCACAGUUACAAACAAACACCUGUAAGAGCAGCAGCAGCAGCAGCAGCUCCUGUUGGUCUGCAGCACCCACCGACUGCCCACAGUGUUCAGGCAGUACAGAGUGUACAAAACCUGAGUCCAAUUUCUGUUUACCCCUACAUUUCCUCAUUUGAGACCGAAAUAAUGAAGCAGGUGUGGCCACAGAGGAGCUGAUAACAGCUGUAAAAAUGAGCCAUUCAGCUGUAAUCAUUGAAGCUGCAGACAGAACAAGAAAAUUUAACAUUUCAUUAGGUCAGCUGUUCACCAGACAUCAAUGAGGUCCUUAUUUAAAACAUUUUAGAGUCCAGUAGACAUUUGCAAACAUUUCACAAAGUGCUUGAGUCAAGAUUUCCUCAUCGAGUAGCAGAUAAACUGUUGUGGCUGCAACAUCAUUUUUAAAGACGUCUGAAGGCGGAAAAAGCAAAAAACCAACUCCGUAACCUUCAGAGUAAAAUCACUGUUUUUACAGAGUAAGCCUGGAGGCUUUCAGGAAAGCAAUGUUUGUGUGGUAUGGUGGCCCUGGAGUCAACUGCAACGUUUCUUAACCCUAAAUAUAGAACUCAAAAAAAUAAAUAAAAAUAAAAAUAAAAGGAUUUGUUCAGACUCAGAGACGUUUCAAGAAACUUAACAUUAUUCCAUCAAAGGUUUCACUAAUAAAACAAACAAAUCAGCUAGUCAGGUGGUUUUAGACGUUCCUCAAUCCUUUUUAAAAUUGAGAGGAGCUAGAGCAUUUUCUGUCAUGGCUCCCACUUUGUGGAACGCUUUGCCUCCUAAAGUGUGCACUGCUAACAGCCUUUCCACUCUUAAAACACUUCUGAAGACGCACCUGUUUACUUUAACUUUUGGGGAAGUAUAGCUACAUUUAUUGGGUAUUUUAUGUAUGUGCUAUGUUUAUCUAUAUUGUUGUUUUAUGUUUUAAUAUAUUUUAUGCUUUUAUUGUUUUUAUGGUCUCUGGCUAUUUUACUGUAAAGCACUUUGGUAGGCCACUGGCUGUUUUUAAAAGUGCUAUAUAAAUAAAGCUGAC